CUGGCCGUAUCAAAUGGACCAUUAUUCAUUGAACUCUUUUGCGUAUGAAUAAAUUCAUUUAAAGUAUAGAUAAACUUUACCCAAAUAUUAAUUGAAAUACUUUUAUUUAAAUUCGAAAGUCUUUUUAAACGUUUACUACAUUUUAACUUGCAUUCAAAAAUAUUUGAAAAUAUCUGUUUAUUGUACAGGUAGUGCCAGAAAAAGUGUGGAAAGUAGGAAAAAAUUUAAAAAUAAUAUUAAUAAAUCUUAUAAUAUCAAAUGUGAGAGGAAGACAAAUUCAAGAAUAAAUUAAAUGAAUUAGAUAAAUAAUGAUUGGAUAAAUAUAGAUGAGGAAGCCAUUAAAAAAUAUCCGAGAAGCUUGCAAUUUGGGUGUCGUGGUCGUCGCCGGAUUACUUGGCCAGUGCUAUCUCUUUCCUUGAUUUGUGCGCACAGGAUGUUUUGGAUGAGAUCUCUCACACGAGAGAUCCCAAGAAGCGCCAAGGAGUGCCAUAUGGAGAAUCUUGGUCCGGUACGAUACACGCUCCUGAAAUCAAGAAAAGUGAUAUCAAUAUUUGUUGAUUUGGGUGUAAUGUCGAUAACGAACAUACGAUUUUGAAUUCUACAAUAUACAGGGUAUUCCACAA